CCUACGGGUGGCAGCAGUGGGGAAUAUUGCACAAUGGGGGAAACCCUGAUGCAGCGACGCCGCGUGAGUGAAGAAGGAUUUCUGUGUGUAAAGCUCUAUCAGCAGGGAAGAAGACAGACGGUACCUGACUAAUAAGCCCCGGCUAACUACGUGCCAGCAGCCGCGGUAAUACGUAGGGGGCGAGCGUUAUCCGGAUUUACUGGGUUUAACGGGAGCGUAGACGGCUGGGGAAGUCUGAAGUGAAAGCCCAGGGCUCAACUCUGGAAUUGCUUUGGAAACUGUGGAGCUAGAGUGCUGGUGCGGUAAGCGGAAUGCAUGGUGUAGCGGUGAAAUGCGUAGAGAUUAGGAGGAACACCAGUGGCGAAGGCGGCUUACCGGACAGCAACUGACGUUGAGGCUCGAAAGCGUGGGGAGCAAACAGGAUUAGAUACCCUUGUAGUC
rnacentral:rRNA from 1 species